rnacentral:rRNA from 1 species
AGACAGCAGUAGCCGCGGUAAUACAGAGGGUGCGAGCGUUAAUCGGAUUUACUGGGCGUAAAGCGUGCGUAGGCGGCUUCUUAAGUCGGAUGUGAAAUCCCUGAGCUUAACUUAGGAAUUGCAUUCGAUACUGGGAAGCUAGAGUAUGGGAGAGGAUGGUAGAAUUCCAGGUGUAGCGGUGAAAUGCGUAGAGAUCUGGAGGAAUACCGAUGGCGAAGGCAGCCAUCUGGCCUAAUACUGACGCUGAGGUACGAAAGCAUGGGGAGCAAACAGGAUUAGAUACCCGGGUAGUCUCUGUCUCUUAUAC